rnacentral:rRNA from 1 species
GACGAACGCUGGCGGCGUGCUUAACACAUGCAAGUCGAACGGAAAGGCCCUGCUUUUGUGGGGUGCUCGAGUGGCGAACGGGUGCGUAACACGUGAGUAACCUGCCCUUGACUUUGGGAUAACUUCAGGAAACUGGGGCUAAUACCGGAUAGGAGCUCCUGCUGCAUGGUGGGGGUUGGAAAGUUUCGGCGGUUGGGGCUGGACUCGCGGGUAAUCAGCUUGUUGGUGGGGUAGUGGCUUACCAAGGCUUUGACGGGUAGCCGGCCUGAGAGGGUGACCGGCCACAUUGGGACUGCGAGACGGCCCAGACUCCUACGGGAGGCAGCAGUGGGGAAUAUUGCACAAUGGGCGGGAGCCUGAUGCAGCAACGCCGCGUGCGGGAUGACGUCCUUCGGGGUGUAAACCGCUUUCGCCUGUGACGAAGCGUGAGUGACGGUAAUGGGUAAAGAAGCACCGGCUAACUACGUG